rnacentral:misc_RNA from 1 species
GAUGAAGAACGUAGCGAAAUGCGAUAAGUAAUGUGAAUUGCAGAAUUCAGUGAAUCAUCGAAUCUUUGAACGCACAUUGCGCCCGCCAGUAUUCUGGCGGGCAUGCCUAUUCGAGCGUCAUUUCAACCAUCAAGCCCCAGGCUUGUGUUGGGGACCUGCGGCUGCCGCAGGCCCUGAAAACCAGUGGCGGGCUCGCUGUCACACCGGGCGUAGUAGAUUUUAUCUCGCUCAGGGCGUGCUGCGGGUUCCGGCCGUUAAAAAGCCUUUUUUACCCAAGGUUGACCUCGGAUCAGGUAGGAAGACCCGCUGAACUUAAGCAUAUCAAUAAGCGGAGGA